CCGCGGGAUUCCUUACCAACCCUUGACAUCCUUGGACCGCUAGAGAGAUCUAGUUUUCUCGUAAGAGACCAAGUGACAGGUGCUGCAUGGCUGUCGUCAGCUCGUGUCGUGAGAUGUUCGGUUAAGUCCGGCAACGAGCGCAACCCACAUCUUUAGUUGCCAUCAGGUUAAGCUGGGCACUCUAGAGAAACUGCCCGUGAUAAGCGGGAGGAAGGUGUGGAUGACGUCAAGUCCUCAUGGCCCUUACGGGUUGGGCUACACACGUGCUACAAUGGCAUCAACAAUGGGUUAAUCCCUAAAAGAUGUCUCAGUUCGGAUUGGGGUCUGCAACUCGACCCCAUGAAGUUGGAAUCGCUAGUAAUCGCGUAACAGCAUGACGCGGUGAGUACGUUCCCGGGUCUUGUACACACCGAAU
rnacentral:rRNA from 1 species